ACCAAAACUCUAAGAAAGAUAGUGAAAGAGCCAGAGAGAUAUCUUGAUUGAUUUUUGGUAGAAACUUUUGGUGUCGACUUAAAUUUUUGGUAUCUGAUCAUGAAAAAGAUCAUAUCAGAUUCAAAGAAAUUAAGAAAUCCACAUCAUAUGACUAUGUCGGUCAAUAACUAGCCACGUAAGCACGGAUGAUAUUUCUGGUCCC
rnacentral:lncRNA from 1 species